GGGCCCGCACAAGCGGCGGAGCAUGCGGAUUAAUUCGAUGCAACGCGAAGAACCUUACCUGGGUUUGACAUACACCCUGCCGCCUCAGAGAUGGGGCUUCUUUUGGGGGUGUACAGGUGGUGCAUGGCUGUCGUCAGCUCGUGUCGUGAGAUGUUGGGUUAAGUCCCGCAACGAGCGCAACCCUCGUUCUAUGUUGCCAGCACGUUAUGGUGGGGACUCAUAGGAGACUGCCGGGGUCAACUCGGAGGAAGGUGGGGAUGACGUCAAGUCAUCAUGCCCCUUAUGUCCAGGGCUUCACGCAUGCUACAAUGGCCGGUACAAAGGGCUGCGAUCCCGCAAGGGGGAGCGAAUCCCAAAAAGCCGGUCUCAGUUCGGAUUGGGGUCUGCAACUCGACCCCAUGAAGUCGGAGUCGCUAGUAAUCGCAGA
rnacentral:rRNA from 1 species